rnacentral:rRNA from 1 species
GACGAACGCUGGCGGCGUGCUUAACACAUGCAAGUCGAACGGAAAGUCCCUGCUUUUGUGGGGUGCUCGAGUGGCGAACGGGUGAGUAACACGUGAGUAACCUGCCCUUGACGUUGGGAUAACUUCAUGAAACUGGGGCUAAUACCGGAUAGGAGCUCCUGCUGCAUGGUGGGGGUUGGAAAGUUUCGGCGGUUGGGGAUGGGCUCGCGGCUUAUCAGCUUGUUGGUGGGGUAGUGGCUUACCAAGGCUUUGACGGGUAGCCGGCCUGAGAGGGUGACCGGCCACAUUGGGACUGAGAUACGGCCCAGACUCCUACGGGAGGCAGCAGUGGGGAAUAUUGCACAAUGGGCGGAAGCCUGAUGCAGCAACGCCGCGUGCGGGAUGACGGCCUUCGGGUUGUAAACCGCUUUCGCCUGUGACGAAGCGUGAGUGACGGUAAUGGGUAAAGAAGCACCGGCUAACUACGUG